ensembl:miRNA Mir6354 microRNA 6354
UCUCUUGCAGAGCCCAGAGCAUCUGACUUGCCCUGGGGAUCAGGUCUCUGUCUUUGGAGCUCCAGGGUUGAGAGACUGUUACAGACCAGGAAGUCUUACUUGUUGGGGUUUUGUAUGGGU